rnacentral:rRNA from 1 species
UACAGAGGGUGCAAGCGUUAAUCGGAAUUACUGGGCGUAAAGCGUGCGUAGACGGUUAUUUAAGUCAGGUGUGAAAGCCCCGGGCUCAACCUGGGAAUUGCAUUCGAUACUGGAUAGCUAGAGUUCGGCAGAGGGAAGCGGAAUUUCUGGUGUAGCGGUGAAAUGCGUAGAUAUCAGAAGGAACAUCAGUGGCGAAAGCGGCUUCCUGGACCAGAACUGACGAUCAGGCUCGAAAGCGUGGGGAGCAAACAGG